rnacentral:lncRNA from 1 species
UGUUGACGCCAGAUUUUGACACGUAUGAAAUCGGCGUCAGAAAAGGAAGAAAUCAGGAGAUGUGGCAAGACACAGAGGUCACGGUUGGAAAUCGGCCGAUUGGUGCUACAGUUGAGGAUCGGCCGAUUGCCCUUCGAGGGUGGAACUCCGCCUCGCCCGACCCCCGAGUCUUGGGGUCGGAGCCGCCCGACCCUUUAGGGGUGGAACUCCGCCUCGCCCGACCUUAGGUCCCAGGGUCGGAGUAGUCGGAGCCCCCGACAUGUAGGCUAAGCUUGGCUUGUAGUAGUCCCAAGUGUCGGGUAGUCGUAAUGCUGUUUGAGUACUUGUCUUCUGAGGGACACGGGUGUACUGUACUCGGCUGUCCUUUGUUGAUGGAGUUGGUAGAAAUCGGCCGAUUAGGAGGCUGGAGCAAUUGGGCCGGUAUGGGCUUAAAGUGGACUAUGAAGAUAAAGAGGGAGUUAGCCCACGAGAGCAUGAUGAUCAACUCCAGUAUGAAUCGUAGUUGUAAAAAUUCGUUUUCGUUUAAAAUUAGAGAUAGAGUUCUAGUCGGUUAAGAAAUUGUUUGUAACAGGCUAUAAAUAGCCACCUUCAUAGAUCUGUAAUCACCAGCACAAAAGCAAUACAACAAACUACUAUUUCCAUACACUUACUUUCAAGCACGGGACUUCGCCAAUACUUUUCUUCUUUUUCACGAGUUCAUAUGGGUUGGCGGGGCUGCAUCAACUUGAUCUCUGGCCGAUUCUGUAAGUUCCGUUUAUCGAGUAAUAUCUAAGCUUUAACUCCGUGCACAUCGCUGUCGUUUCGUUUAGAUUUAUUCAUUAGUUAUCGAUAUUCACUAGAAUCCUAGGUCUUGCCUGUUGUUCUAGUUUCAUCACCAGUUAUCCAGCUAGGAAUUGGAACUUUCGGCUUUCUUGUACUUCAUUAUUCAAUCUAUUGUUUUCCGCAUAGCCGAUUCAGAUCUAUUCCUAGUGUUGUUACUGUAGCGUUGUUUAGAUUACUCUAGCAGUUUUCUUUACUAACGCUGCCCGGUAAUCGGCCGCAUUAUAGCCGAUUUCUUUAUUACAGCCAAUCGGCCGAUUCGCUGAUAAGCUAUCUCGAGAUCGGAACCUUAGCCGAUCGCAACCUCUAGGAUCUAACACGUUUCUUUCCUUGCCAAUCAACAGGUUAGAUUGGCUGGCACGCCGCGCGAACAGCACCAGGGCGAUCACCCGAACAGGAGUUAAGCAGAUUCUCCCGGGUCGUGUGUCCAACGCUGGAGAUUCGAUCAGCCGAUUUCUAGCGCCAACACAUUUUUGGCACGCCCGGUGGGACAAAUACAAUCGCCACUAUGUCAAAAGCUGCCGAAGUCUCAGAAGACAACGUCAUUGAGGUGACGGAAGCAGUCCUCAAGGACGACCAGAAGGAAGAAUUGGAAAAGCAGAUGGCGUACUACCGGAAGACGUGUCUGCAAUCCUUCAGUCGCACCAGGAGCGUGGAAACGUUCAAAAAGACUCUGUUUCUGACUCCCUGCCAGAUCACAAUUGCCGAGGACUCGGGCAAGAUGUCCGAGAUGGUUCAAUAAUCUGUCUAUCAAGCUUUCAUUGAUCAAUCCCCGGUGAUUUCUAAUACGGUAUACAAUGCCGUCAUCAGCUCCUUGGCCAACGGCGUAUCCUAAGGGUACCAGGGGCCGGCGUAUGCCCCACCUAUUACGGCCCCGACCAGGAGUUAUUCAAAUACACCCUACUCGGCUCCUCAGCCGAUCCAGGCUCCAAUUGGAGGUCCUGGCACCUCCUCAUCAUCAAUCCCUCUGGGGUUUAACAGCGCACCAUAUCUCCAGCCGCAAUCCAUUCAGUUAUCCUCCGUGCAGUUGUCUCCUUCGAAUUCAAUGCCUUGGGGGGCACUGUUGGCGUCGGCCGUCCAAGAUCAAUCGGCCAGCCAUGGAAGCAUUCCAAUCCAGGCACCUUUCCAAUCGGCUGCGCGGCCGAUGAUGCCGCAAUAUCAGCCCAACGUGCCGGAGAUGAGUAGGGGGGCAGAAGCAACGGAAGCACUUUGGGGCGCUACGCCGAUUGUGCUAUAUGACAAAGCGGCCGGUUCGCUCAGACAGCCAAUCCCGACUACGCAGCCAGCCACGUCACAUCAAGCGCCACACGUUCUCGCCCACCACCCGGUCAUCCCGCCGCCGGUCUACCAACACGUGCCGGUUCCCCAGCCGAUAGUCCAUCAGCAACAACCAGACUUGACGGCACGCAUAGCGGAGGUGAUUCAAGAGCAAUUCAGUUUAAAACCGAAGAUGCAAAGCUACACAUACAAGACACCAUACCCACCUACUUAUGACUUACUGCCGUUUCCCCAUCGGUACAAAGUUCCUGAUUUCACCAAGUUUUCGGGGCUGGAUGACACCUCAACUGUAGAGCACGUGAACAGAUUCAUCAUCCAAUGUGGAGAGGCAGCGGCGCAAGAUGCUCUACGGGUGCGCCUUUUCUUGUCAUCCCUGUCCGGAUCGGCCUUCCAAUGGUUCACUACACUACCACCCAACUCAAUAAUUACGUGGGCUGAUCUGGAGAGGCAGUUUCACAAAUACUUCUACGCGGGGGUACAUGAGAUGAAGCUUUCUGAUUUAACCAGCCUUAGACAGAGAAGUGACGAACCGGUAUCCUCGUAUGUGUAGAGGUUCAGGGAGAUCAGGAACAAAUGCUACUCCCUAGGCCUGAAUGAUGCACAACUAGCCGACAUAGCCUUCCAAGGUCUCCUGCCUCAUAUCAAAGAGAAAUAUGCUUCACAGGAGUUUGAGAGCUUGAGCCAAAUCGUGCAUCGAUUGUCUGGUCAGGAAGUAUGCCCCUUUGAUCCAUGAAGGAACUUCCAGAAGAAGAUGGCGUACUUAGAGGAGGCUGAAUCCGAAGAAGAAACAGAGAUCGGCCUGGCGGAGUGGGUUAAAGGAAAAAAAGCCGAUAUCGUGUCCGUUCGGGAAAAAGGAGUCGGAAGCAUUCGGUUUCGACACAUCAAAGGCCGAUAAAAUUUUCGAUCUUCUCCUCCAGGAAGGACAGAUCAAGCUCUUGCCAUACCAUACCAUCCCGUCGGACGAAAAACUAAAGAAGAUGAAAUAUUGCAAGUGGCAUAACGCUACUUCCCAUGAUACAAAUGAAUGCAAAAUCUUUGGACAGCAGAUAUAAUCAGCCAUCGAACAAGGCAGGCUCAAACUUGAAGUCCCAACAAAGCCUGCCAAGCUGAUGAAGAUUGACCAGCAUCCCUUCCCCACCAACAUGGUUGACAUGGGGAAAAAUUCGCUCCAGACCAAGGUGCUGACAUCCGAAUCGGCUAAGAAAAGCGGUGCUGUGGACCCCAGAAAUCAAGCGGCGCCCGAAGACGUCAAGGGGAAACGGUGGAUGGAGGAUGAAGACGACGGAUCGGGAGAACCACGCAGGCCCGUCACCUCCCAAUUUCUUCUCAACAAAUAUCAAUGCCAACAAGAACGCUCAAGAUCCCGGGAAGAGGCAAUGCGACGACAUGAAGAUGACUGGCGAUGCCCAUUCUUCAUCCACUGCUGGGAGAGCAACCUUAGGUUGCCGUCGGCCGAUAAUUCCCUAAGUGCAACGGCCUGUAUCGUAACAAUCGGCCAUUCAGGAGGUCUCGCUCCAGAGAUGGAAGAUCAGAGCCGAUCAGCAGGAACUGGCGCGAACAAGAAGACCGGCGCCCUCCAGUGCGUGAUCGCUGGUGUGACGACCGACCCCAAAUCUUUCGAGUUAAACCUAAUCCGAGCCCUGAUCACCUGUCUUAGCUUUCCAAGCCUAAGUGAUCAACCUCCAGUCUGGUCCCGACCCCUGAGACCCGACCCCUCUCCGCUGGCCUCCAGCUCCGACCCCGCCGACCCCAACUCACCGCCGGAUCUUUCUGAGUCAUCCCCAACACCUCCCUUCAGUCUGGCUGGUGGACCCACGAGAUCUUUUCCCCCAGAUCUUCCGCGACAGGCGCACUCGAGUUGCAUGCCCGCUUCAGAGUUCCCCCACCGCGUGGCUCAACUUCUCCGAUGCCCGCCGCUCCACCUCGUUCUUGGCCCGCAACCAAAUGGAUUCUCGCACCCUCCUCCCCAAUCGCAGCGGAAGCCCCUCUGCAACCUUUCUGCAGCACCUCGCCACCCGCGCCUAUCAUCACGUCACCAGAUCCCAGCCGCAGAGCCCGAUGUCGCCCGUCUUUUCCGUCACUUUGACACAGUCGCGCCGCCUGGUCUUCGCUACCCGACGAUCCCUCCUCUGCCAACCCUGACCACGGCAGCGACAGCUCCUUUCCUUGCCCUGUCAGAAGCCACCCGACAAUCUGUUGCUCCGCGCUCGCCCGCGUGCCCGCGGCCACCUGUCUUCUCACCUGUGCGCCCUCGUUCCUAGCACCAUUGUCCCGGUCACUUCUAUCAGCUCUACCGCAUGACGACGCCCGCCUCCGCCAAAUCUCAACCACCGAUAAACCCGCACCUGCGCUGCCCUGACGCCAGAGCCCAAUGGCCGCUGGCAUCAUCCCUGAAGUCCUGCUCCACCGCCCUCAUCGCUCAAUCGCCGCCCAGGCCGAGCACUCCAUUGCUUCUUCCUCGGCCUCCGCGCCGCUCCCCUUCUCACUCCCGCGCCGCUAUAAAAGGGAAUGCGCGAGCCACGCCGGAGUCCCCUUCGCCAUCGCUGCCUUUCCGCCAUUUCUCUUGCUCCCUGUUCGAGCUCCCAAUGCCACCCCACUAAGUUCCUGAGGAACUCUCCUCUCCGCUCCACUCCGUUUUCCCCAAGCCAUCCAGCCGCUUGCUCCUCCGUGCUGCGUAAGAGCUUACUUGUGAUCCACAAGAAGCACCGCCGCCGCCGGAGCACUACCGGACCUCGCCGUUGUUCAAAGCCUUAUUCCCUCCGCCCAAGUCUGCUUCUUCCCGACCCCAAGCUUUCCUUGUAAGAAGAAGGUAAGCUGCCGACCCCUUGUCCGCCUCGUCCAACCCUUCUGACGUCCGACGUUUGUCCGUCUUGUCCGACCCCUUUUGUUCUGCCGACCCUUGUCCGCUUCGCCCGACCCCUCUUAUCCGCCCGACCCUGUCUGUUCCGCCGACCCUUCUCCGCCUCGCCCGAGGACUCAGCUGUAUCUUUUUCUUGAACCGAGGGUGUAGGUGUAAAACUUGGGGACCCUUCAGCGUUGAGUCUGAGGACCCCUAGCACACCAAAUCCUCUAGAUUAAGGGUCAGAUCAUAAGUUCCUUUCCUCCGACCCUUACCUUUUGAUCUCCAUCAACUACCUUGAACUUUCCCACCCUCCUGUAUCAUGUCGCAAGUUUCUGGGCUCAGACUUGCAAGUGUUGCUAUUGAAAUAACCGUCUAUGCUAACUCUUGCAUUGCAUUUUCGUGUAGAGCUGCGUCUCGCCGACGGCUGCUACGAGCUGCACCCGGCGCCAGAAGACGACGGUGUAGCCGAGCUCCUGCCCUCAGAAGCCGAAACCGCCCCAGAAGUCGAGCAGUUCCCUUCCUUCUUGCUCGAAGGCAAGCCCCAGAUGCAUGAGUCCCCUAUGUUUUACCAAACUUGCGCAUGCCUUCUUUAUCAUGCUUGUGCAUUUAUGUAUAGGAGUUGUUUGGAACCCUAGAUGCAUGACUUAGCUCCCAUGAUCUAAACACUAGCUGUUGGACCGAGUAGAUGCUUUGCUUAAAUAGGAGACGGUAAAAGCUGAGUGAUUUCCUGUCACUCGCGAGUUGUAGGAGUUGGAUGUCUACCCUUCUGUUACAACUGUAAGGACAAUGGACGGGGCAGGGUUUGAGGUAACUCUUUGGUGGUCGGUUGAUCGCCCCGUCUGUUUAUGAAACUUGCUAAGGCCCGAUAGUGGUGGUGUUCGUGAUCAAGUGUUUGAAGGUACUAAUCUCAUACCUAGUAUGGGAUGGGGAAGCCUAGUACUUGAUUGAACUAGGGCGUGGCUUAUACCCCUGCUGUCCCUGGAACGAGGUUCCCAUGGUGCAUCAUGUGGGUGCAAGUGCGGUCACAGUACGGUAGAGGCCGGGACUGUGGAGCAUUGCAUGCCAAGGGAAGUUUGGACCUGACACGCGCCUGGAAAUUGAUGGGGACGGCCGACACUGGAAGCGGCCCUUGUGGCGCGCGGAUGUCGUGAGAUUAGGUUCACCAUGCAUGGUUAAGAAACUCGAAUCAAUUCAUCUGCCUCUCACAGUUUGAGACUGCUUGAUCGCUAUGUCACCCUGAGUAAAUGAUGAAUCUGAUGAUGACAUGGUUUUGUUGAUGAUAUUUAUACCUUUGGUUGGUUCUAUGAUUGCUUAGAAUAGGUUGCAAAACUUAGACCGGAUAAUGAACUUAGAACCGGAGCUAAAACUUGAAAGUAGGGUUACACCUAGCGCUUUUGGCAAACAAACCCCCAGCCAAAGAGCCUUGCAUGUUCCGUAUGUAAUCCAUACGAAGGUUGGUACGGUUCGAUUCCAACGAGCCUAUCAGCACGGUUGUUUGCCACGUCUAUCAUACGUGCGCUGAUUCCGCAUCGCGAGUAUGUGAAGGGUUAUACGGUUCCAUUCAAAGGGAACCUAUUUCCACGGUUGAGCUGUCCAUGUAGCCCUAAACGCAUGGGUGUCGUUCCUAUAGUGAGCGGUAAUGUUUGGGAACGCUUUCGUGGGUGCUGGCACGAAAGGUUCGUGUGGUGGUGUUUUCUGCAGGUACACUAACCGCGUUGCUUAGGAGACGUUGCUAGAACCGACUAGCUAUUAUAGGGAGAGACGUACCUGUUGCCUUGCCACCGGCACUGACCGCGUAAGACCCAAGUUUUGGGCAGUUGUUUUGGUUAAGAGUGAGGUAGGCCGUGCAUGCGACAUAAGCUAAAAAUCGGUGAAGUCACUCUCCUCAAAAGCAACCUUGCUCGGAAAAGCUCUUCUUCGGUUUUAAGGAUUUCUAGUUUCUUCUAGUUGUUCUCAGUUAAAAUUGAAUGACUUCUCUGUCCGACCCCUGACCUUUGGAAUCUAUCUCACGUGGUUUUGGUUUCUUGGUUCCAGAUGGCCGUCCGCGGACACGUUUUGUUUGGAGCGGAUGGUACCUUCCAUUCAACCUGUCUACACUUCGAGGGCUUCCCCGCGAUUUUGUGCGAUACCUUGAAAUGGUUCGGGUACCAGUCCCCACCAUUGUACGCAGGACGACUGUACCUAGAGCAAGGCGUCCAGACGUGCAACGUGCAGGCGGUAGUACCUCCUCCUCCUGUGCGGCCCGACUGGCCCUCAUUCGGGAUAUCGGCAUAUGGUCUUGCCCCGAAGGACACCUGGGAGUCCGCCGCUCUUCAGCUCCUUACCCAGUUUUGUCAGCUGCACCCCUUGGAGGUCACCCUAGACCCCAUCGGCCUGUUCCCUGCCAGGAACCGGUUGGAUCCGGCGUGGCUCGACCGCGUUGGAAAUAUCGAGGUGCUGGCCACCACCUACUCCAUGGUCACCAUCUCCACCAACAUCCGUUGUAUGACAGCCCUCUAUCGGCUGAUUGAGCUCCAAGGAAGAGCCAUGACCAUUCUAGCUCGGACCGCAGCGGAUGCUCAAGGACACCUCCAGUCAGCCAGAAGAGACCUGGUAGGCCAAACCUACCAGCUUAUCCAACGAGGCGUUCAGAUACAUGACAUGCAAGACAGAAUCUCCAAGCUCGAAGGAGAAGUAGCCGACCUGGUGGACGGCAUGAUCGAGCUAUCGGAGGAGAAGAUGGAAGUGGAAAUGGAGCUGGCGGUUGCCAAUGCUCAUCUGGACGUCCUCCAGAUGCAACUAGAAGCUCAAGAGGACCCCGAGGAGGUUGAGGGAGCGUCCAGUAUGGACAUCGAAGAAGACGGCGCCCCUUCUCCUACUCAUAGUGUUCAUUUGUAGAUGAAGAGUUGCAAGGAACUCCUUCUUUUGUUGUACUCCUCGGCAGCCUAAAUUUUGGAAAGAUUUGUAAUAGGUUAGCCUUGAGUCGAGUACUCCCUGUGUGGGAACUCCUCUGUAAAGAUCCCCAUGAAAUCAACUCUUGAGUCUGACCUUUAACUCUUUGCAAAGUGUUGGAAUGUUAGGCUAAGUGAGUGUGCUACGACCACACACGCUGUUUUUCUAUGGGUCUGUUCAAGUUUGGCCGACCCCGGUUCGCAAGAUUGGAUGCGCCGACCCCUCAAGGCAGUUCUCUGCCUCGCCUGACCCCUUUUUAGUGUGGAUCGUUGCCGACCCCUUUUUCUCGGGAUGAUCGCCUAGACGACCCUUUGGCUUAAGUUCAGAUGUAUUGGAAUUCCAGGAGUCUGGGUAGGGUAUGGUUCGCCCGAAGUUGAGUACAAGGCUAAUAUAAACGCUAACUAACAUGAUGAUGAGAAGAGUGUAUGAGGACGUGUGUUGCAUUAUCAGCAAGAGUUGUAUCGGAGAAUUUAACUUAUGCGUUUUAUCUGUUGGAGUACUUCUAAGAUUAUGAAUUUAAUGGAACGUUAACUCUUGCAGAUGGCGCAUCGCACCAGAUCUGGUUCUGUGCCCGGCAGCAGCGAGCAGAGACAGGAUCUUCCCCCACCCCCGCCCUCAUCUCCACUAGAGGCAAUCCUAGUGGCUCAAACCGAGCUGCUGAGGCAUCUUGUACAAGGACAACAGCAGCAGCCCCACGGUGGAAGGGCUUAGCAGCAGCCACAUGUUGCUCGCUAUGAGGACUUUUUGGGGACGCAGCCCCCUUUGUUUUAGAAGACACAAGAACCGCUCGACGCCGUUGCCUGGGUUCGUACCAUCGAAUCCAAGUUCGAGCUUCUCACCGCCCCAUGCCCCGACCAUAACAAGGCCCGGUUUGCAGCUCAACAGCUGCGUGGCUCCGCCUGGCUCUGGUGGGACCACUACCAUGCCAUGUUGCCGGCUGGCCAUGUGGUCAGCUGGAACGAGUUCAAGACCGCGUUUAAAGCGCAUCACAUCCCAAAAGGUCUCCUGGAGCGCAAGCUCAACGAGUUCCUGGCUCUUACCCAGGGAACCCGAGAUGUCCUGCACUACGCCCAAGCUUUCAACGAUCUGUGCCGUUAUGCCGGCUAUCAUGCGGACACAGACGAGAAGAAGCGGGACAGAUUCUGCCGAGGACUGAGCUUGGAGCUUAGAGAGAGGUUGAACCCCAUUAAGGUGGAUACCUACAACGAGUUGGUCAAUCUGGCCAUCUCUCAAGAGGAUGCAUGCAGGCUCUCAAAGCUGAUCAGAAGAGGAAGGCCUCCGUGGCAUUUCCAAGCCAGCCGACUCCAAAGUUCAGGAUGGUUCCUCCACAAGCUCCCAGCUAACCCCAGCCGUCGGGAAGGUGGAUUGCCCGACCCCCACCAGCAGCAGCGCCCCAUUUUCCUGGCUUCCAACCACAGGCGCCCCGGCCGACCCCACCCACACCACCGCGUCCUACAACUGGUAACCGCUGUUUCACUUGCGGCAAUGAAGGACAUUUCGCCAAGGACUGCCCCAGAAAUCAGAGCUCGCGCCCAGGGCAGAGCAAUGCAGCGCCCCACCAAGGGAAGAGGCCCAAGGUGCAAGUUCGCCAAGGGCGACUGAACUUUACCCACGCAGUAGAGCUUCCCGAAGGUGCGCCGAUAAUGACGGGUACUUUUCUGAUUCACAGUUUUUCGGCUUUGGUUUUGUUUGACUCGGGAGCUUCACAUAGUUUUAUUGGGAGAAAGACCCGUGACAAGUGUGGGUUACAAGAAUGCCAAACCAGAGGGUCCUUUAGAAUAUCCACCCCGGGUGGAGUGAUCACCUCUGAUAGGAUAAGUGUCAAUGUGCCUAUUCAACUAGGUCAAAACCUUUUUAAGGAGAAUCUUAUCAUCCUUGACCUGGAAGGAAUAGAUAUCAUCCUCGGGAUGGAUUGGAUGACCAGACACCAAGUGGUCCUAGAUACAGCUGCUCGAACUCUCCACAUCAACUCACCCUUUUAUGGCAGUUCCACCCUAUCCUUGAAAUUUCCUAAAUCCGCACUUCCUUGUGCGUACCCUCUAUCGGAAGCCCGGCUAGAAAGCCUCCCUAUUGUCUGUAAGUACCCUGACGUGUUCCCAGAAGACCUGCCUAGCAUGCCACCUGAUAGAGAUGUGGAGUUUUCCAUAGAGUUGAUCCCCGGCAUCGCUCCGAUAUCCAAGAGACCCUAUCGGAUGCCACCUGCUGAAUUGGCUGAGUUGAAGACCCAGUUGCAUGAUCUGUUGGAAAAAGGCUUCAUUUGACCCAGCACAUCACCUUGGGGUUGUCCCGCCCUGUUUGUGAAGAAGAAGGAUGGCAGUCUACACAUGUGUGUGGACUACCGACCCCUCAAUGCGGUGACCGUCAAGAACAAGUACCCACUUCCACGCGUCGAUGUCUUGUUUGAUUAGUUAGCUGGAGCAAAAGUGUUCUCCAAGAUCGAUCUUCGUUCGAGUUAUCACCAAAUCAAGAUCCGACCCUGCGACAUACCCAAAACAGCCUUCUCCACAAGAUAUGGACUAUACGAGUACCUGGUCAUGUCUUUUGGACUCACCAAUGCACCCGCCUAUUUCAUGUACCUCAUGAACUCGGUGUUCAUGCCCGAGUUGGACAAGUUUGUUGUGGUGUUCAUUGAUGAUAUCCUCGUGUACUCGAAGAACGAAGAAGAACAUGCCAACCAUCUUCGCGUAGUUCUCCAGCGGCUGAGAGAUCACCAACUCUAUGCCAAGUUCUCCAAGUGUGAGUUCUUGUUAGAUAGUGUCAAGUUUUUGGCACACACUAUCUCCAAGGAUGGCAUAGCCGUCGACCCCAGCAAGGUACAGGAAGUUAUGGACUGGAAGCCUCCUGCCUCAGUGCCCCAGAUCAGAAGUUUCCUUGGACUGGCAGGCUACUAUCGGCGUUUCAUACCAGAAUUCUCCAAGAUAGCUAAGCCGAUGACUGAGCUGCUGAAGAAAGAGGUCAGAUUCAUGUGGGACGACAAGUGUGAAGAGGCCUUCAAGACCCUGAAGCACUUGCUGACCACAGCCCUAGUUUUGGCUCAGCCCGACCCCUCUAGGCCGUUUGACGUGUACUGUGAUGCCUCUGGCACUGGACUUGGGUGUGUUCUUAUGCAAGACAACCGAGUCAUUGCCUAUGCCUCACGGGCGUUAUGACCUUAUGAGCUGAACUACCCGACCCACGAUCUUGAGUUGGCAGCAGUAAUUCAUGCCUUAAAGAUAUGGAGACACUACCUGAAGGGCACCCACUGCAACAUCUACACCGACCACAAGAGCCUCAAGUACAUCUUCACUCAAUCCGACCUCAACAUGCGCCAAAGGAGGUGGUUGGAGUUGAUAAAAGACUAUGAUUUGGAAGCUCACUACCAUCCCGGCAAGGCCAAUGUGGUGGCCGAUGCUCUUAGUCGCAAGAACUGUUGCAAUUGCUUGUCGGCAACUACUUUCACCGAGACUUGUUGGAGGUUUGCCCUAGAGGCAAUCAUAGAGAUGAUGAUAUUCUAUUUGUAUCCAUGAUUUGUAUAUUGUGUUCAUUGAAUAUCCAUUAAAGGCUACUUGAAUUGAUUUGCAAUUAUGUGAAUUGUAUGUGAAACUCUUUACUUGUAUGGUUAUUCUAAAGUUGUCCCUAGUCGGAGUUCAUGUGAGGACACACAUGAAUAUUAGACUAGCACAUGCAUUAGUUGAUGACUAUGUUUCACAAGUCAUGGACAUGGAGAUGUUGAACUAAUAAUGUGGACACAUGUGGAGACAUGUGCUAGGACUGACCCAACACGAGAAGUAGUUCUCUCUUUAAACAACAUAUACGCUUUGUCCUUAGACCUGAGAUUGUCGCAUGUAUUCUAGAUGUGGAUCGACCUACUUAGGGGCUAUCAAACGCUACGCCGUAACAGGGUAGUUAUAAAGGUAGCUUUCAGGUUUGUCAAGAAGCAUGCUAUGAGACAUGGUCAAUCAAGAUGGGAUUUGCCCCUCUCUGAUUGAGAGUGAUAUCUCUGGGCCCCUCGAGUGAUCAGAUCCGAAAAUGCAUGGCCAUGCUACGUACGGUUAAGAGUUAACCUACAAAGGGAUUCCGAAUCACAGGAUCGAGAAAGCGCGGUUGGCUUGAAGCUAGACCAAAUAUCGUGAGGCAAAGGGAAUAGCAUGUAUAUUAUGUUGUGAUGGUUCGUCUGAUAUGAUCUUCGUGUGCGUAUAGGAGUUGGCACGUCUUGCUAGAGGCCGCUACCGACUAUUGGGCUGAGUAGGAGUACUCGGGCCAUGUCUAUACGUAUCCGAACCCAUAGGGUCACACACUUAAGGGGCUGGAAGCCCAAUUCGGAUCUGAUCCGAGUUGGAUUAGGUUUAGAAGUACUAAUGGGCCUCGGACCCAGAGGCCCGUCAGGAACCUCUAUAAAUAGAGGGGUGGGGGCGCCCUAGAGUUUACACCUUUUGGCGAAACACACCUGCCGCGCCUCCCACGCCCUCGCCUGUUGCAACUCGCGGAUCUAGCAGUCCGGCUUGCGACGCUUCCUCCCUGCACGUGUGGAUACCUUGGAGGUGUUGCGCCUGCAGCACUUGAACGAGCCGUCGACGAGCCGCCGACGAGCCGAAGACGAGCCCCGGCACCGGAGGCGAUCUUGCUGCACGUGGACGAGCUGCUGAGAAGCUGCUAGACUUGAUCGACUACGUACGACUACGUUGAUCGACUACGUACGACUACGUGAUCAUCUUCACUACAUCGACGCAUAUUUACAUCUUCCGCACCAGUAGUGCGUCGAGUGGUAAUCCCGUGAUCCUUAUACGGCAGUUCUUCCUGGUUAUACGCGGUAGAAUUUUUGAAUUGCGCUAGUGUAGCCUACCUCGUAUCCUAACAGUGGUAUCAGAGCCGUAGCUGUUUAGUUUUGGAUUCGGGAUGUGUGCAUAUGGAGAUAUGCGAGUUUUCAGUUUGAUCUAUGUCUUGUUUUCGUGCUCUUGCUGCAAUGGUAGUGUAACGACAUACUCCUACCGAUUGGUUUCCGCCAUCGGAGUUAAGUGAUACACGUAAAUCCAGUUGCAGUGAGCAAAGAUCAAUAUGAUUGGUCGAAUCGAAAUCCAGGGUCAUACGCCAGGCGCAUUAGAUGUGCAAUAGUAGAUGAGAUCUACUGUUGGGGUCAGGAUUUUUGCCGUAUGCGUAUGCUUCGGUAAAUCAGCCGUAACUUUUCGGUACGAUCUCGGAUAGGGGCGAAUUUUAUAUGAAAAUUGAUCUACAGAAAAAGUUACACAUAAAAAUCAACGGCUUUGCCGUUUUUGGCAAAAUUAGAUUUCCCAAAUUCGGCUUGGAAGAUGGAGUUUUGGGCAUCCGAAGUUUGGAAUGUUAGAACGCCUAACUCUAUUUUGCAGGAUGUAUGUAUAUAUCUUGUGAUCAGUAUGGCCCGUUGUGUAUGUGAUGCAUGUGUGUAACUGAUUCGUGACCUGCGUGUCGCGCGUACGGCAACACGGCAGGAGCCAUAUGUGUUGUCACUUUAUUGUAUUUAUUGGUCUGCGUACCAAUCUGUGAGGAUCCAAGCAACUAUGUAAUCUUCAUUACUAGAUUCUUUACUAGCUAUUAGGCGUAAUAGCAUGUUCUAGUUCUUGGAGGACUCAUCACCAGGAGGAUGGCGCACAUGAAACAUGGAGAUGAGAUCACCAUGGUGAACAGGUUCUAUGGAGAUGGAGAUCACCAUAUGAAAACGGGUCAUACUGUGUCACAACUGUGUGAAUGCUAUUCUGUUUAUGUUUUACUUUCUGCAUGCUGUGAUGUUAGAAGUAGAACGAUCCCUCACGAAGUUUAAGUUAGUAUGCCCUCCCAACUAAAACUUGCACCGUCCCAUGUCUUGUACAAUUAGUGGUGGGUCUAUGAAAUUAGGGUGCCACUGGUUUUCCUUGACUAGACAGGUUUGUGUUGGACACUUACGCGCAUAAGGGUUGGUUUGCUUAACAAGGUUAUCUUAACGGUUAAGGACCUUGGGGCAUAAAGGUUGGGCGCCGAGACAUAGAGAUGUCACCCAACAACAGGAGUCAUAUGUGAUAUGAUUAGCAAAAGUUGCUUACCGAUCUACCUUGUUAGUUGUGGAUCCUGAAUCACUAAGUUUCAAUAGAGGGAUAUUGAUUUUAGUGGGAGUAGAUUCUGUUAAAAUAGUUUAAUGUGAUUUGCUCUAUCAUGGAUACGUUUGUCUUAGUGUAUUUUGCAUUAUUUUGUUGUAGAUUAAAUGGCACCUAGCAGCACUACACCGUUUGCUUUGCGUUCGGUCCUUGAGAAGGACAAGUUGAAUGGAACAAAUUACUCGGAUUGGAUCCGUAACCUGAGAAUUGUUCUCAGGGCUGAGAAAAAGGAAGAUAUUCUAGACAACCCACUACCAGAAGAAUCUGCUGAUGAUGCACCCGCUGCUGCUAAGAAUGCUUACAAGAAAGCAUGUGAUGCUAACCUCGAAGUAAGCUGCCUUAUGCUUGCUUGCAUGGAACCCGAGCUGCAGAUGCAGUUUGAAACAAACCAUUAGGCGCAUGAUAUGAUUGUGGCGCUUAGAGACAUGUUCCAAACACAGGCCAGGACUGAAAGGUUCAAUGUGUCUAAGGCCUUUGUUGAGAGCAAGCUAGCAGAAGGCACAGCAGUAGGACCACACGUAAUCAAGAUGGUUGGUUACACUCAACGGUUGGAGAAGCUGGGCUUCCCAGUGGGCCAAGAGUUGGCCACUGAUUUCAUUUCUUUCGUCUCUUCCGCCUAGCUAUGGGAACUUCAUCUCGAACUACCAUAUGCAUGGGACGGAGAAGGGUCUGAAUGAGCUGUGUGGCAUGCAUAAAAUAGCAGAGGCUGACAUCAAGAAAAGCGCUAGUACCAGCCAUGUGGCGAUACAGAACAAGCCUAGCUUUAAGAAGAAGGGCAAUUCUUAGAAGAAGAAGGGCAAGGCUGGAACGUCCAAGCCAAACCCACCGCCCAAGGUUAAAGCUGGACCUGGACCUACUCCAGACAAAGAGUGCUUUUACUGUCAUGAACUUGGUCACUGGAAGAGAAACUGCAAGCAGUACCUAGCUUCCUUGAAGAAUGGCGGAAGUAAGAGUACUUCUACCUCAGGUACGCUUGUUGUUAAUGUUAUAGACAACAUAUUUCUCGCUGAUACAAUUAUUAAUUCUUGGGUAUUUGAUACCGGAUCGGUUGCUCAUAUUUGCAAUUCGAUGCAGGGAAUGAUAAGAACUAGAAGCGUGGAAAGAGGAGAAGUUGAUUUCCGCGUGGGCAAUAAUGUAAGAGUUGCUGCGUUGACCGUCGGGACGAUGCAACUCCACCUCCUGUCAGGAUUUAUUAUGGAGUUGAAUAAUUGUUAUUUUGUUCUUAGUUUAAGUCGAAACAUUUUGUCUCCUUCAUGCUUGAUGAAGGAUGGUUAUUCAUUUGCGAGUGAAAACAAUGGUUGUGUGAUCUCUAAGAAUAAUAUGUUCAUGGCUUUUGCACCCAUUGUGAAUGGAUUAUUUGUUUUAAAUCUUGAUGGUUCACCUGUCUGUAAUGUAAGUGCUAAAAGGCCUCGGCCUAAUGAUUUGAGUCCUACCUACUUGUGGCAUUGUCAUUUGGGUCAUAUAAGUGAAAAGCGCAUGAAGAAGCUCCAUUCUGAUGGACUUCUAACUUUGUUUGAUUUUGAAUCAUACGAGACAUGUGAGGCUUGCUUGCUAGGCAAGAUGACCAAGACGCCUUUCACAGGAUUUCCUGAGAGAGCAGUAGACUUGUUGGAACUCGUACAUAGUGAUGUAUGCGGACCAAUGAGCACGACGGCUAGAGGAGGAUUCCAAUACUUCAUAACUUUCACUGAUGAUUUUAGUAGAUAUGGCUAUGUCUACUUGAUGAGGCACAAGUCUGAAACCUUUGAAAAGUUCAAGGAAUUUCAGAAUGAAGUUGAAAAUCAGCGUGGCAAGAAAAUUAAGGCCUUAUGAUCUGAUCGUGGAGGCGAGUAUUUGAGCCACGAGUUUAGCAAUCAUCUAAAGAGUUGCGGAAUUGUUCCACAACUUACGCCGCCUGGAACACCUCAGAGAAACGGUGUGUCCGAGUGAUGUAAUCGAACUUUGUUAGACAUGGUUCGAUCAAUGAUGAGCCAGUCGGACCUACCGUUGUCAUUUUGAGGAUACGCUCUAGAAACAGCAGCUUUCACACUUAAUAGGGUACCAUUUAAAUCCGUAGUUAAGAUACCAUAUGAGAUAUGGACUGGAAAGGUUCCUAGUUUGUCUUUUCUAAAGAUUUGGGGAUGUGAAGUGUUUGUCAAGCGACUUCAGUCGGACAAGAUCACACCCAAAUCGGAUAAGUGCAUUUUCGUGGGAUAUCCAAAGGAAACUUUGGGAUAUUAUUUCUACAACCGAUCAGAAGGCAAAGUGUUUGUCGCUCGGAACGGGGUUUUCCUUGAGAAAGAGUUUCUCAAAGGAGAAAAGAGUGGAAAGACAGUGCAUCUUGAAGAAGUUCAAGAUGAGCCGAUCAGGCAAGAAUCAAUGAGUGAUGCUAACGUAGCAGAACAAGUUGAGAUACCCAUGGCAAGAGAAGCACCGCCACAACCACGAAGGUCGGCAAGGCUCCGCGAAAUGCGGGAAAUAUUAUUGUUGGACUAUGAUGAGCCUGCGACAUAUGCAGAAGCAAUGAUGGACCCAGACUCCGAAAAAUGGCAGAGUGCCAUGCAAUCCGAAAUAGAGUCCAUGAGAGACAAUCAAGUUUGGAACUUGGUUGACCCGCCUGAUGGUGUUAAAGCCAUAGAGUGCAAGUGGAUCUAUAAGAAGAAAAAGGACAUGGAUGGAAAUGUUCACAUCUAUAAAGCACGACUUGUCGCAAAAGGUUUUCGACAAGUUCAAGGAGUUGACUACGACGAGACCUUCUCGCCCGUAGUGAUGCUUAAGUCCAUUCGGAUUAUUCUAGCUAUAGCUGCAUAUUUCGAUUAUGAGAUAUGGCAGAUGGAUGUCAAGACAGCUUUCCUAAAUGGAAACCUAACUGAGGACGUGUAUAUGAUACAGCCCGAGGGUUUUGUCGAUCCGAGAAAUGCUGGAAAGGUAUGCAAGCUUCAGAGAUCCAUUUAUGGAUUGAAGCAAGCAUCUAGGAGUUGGAACAUUCGUUUUAAUGAAGUGGUCAAAGGGUUUGACUUCACCAAGUACGAAGAAGAGUCUUGUGUUUACAAGAAGGUUAGUGGGAGCUCUAUAGUAUUUCUAAUCUGAUAUGUGGAUGACAUAUUACUGAUUGGAAAUAACAUUCCUAUGCUUGAGUCCGUAAAGACUUCACUGAAAAAUAGUUUUUCGAUGAAGGACUUAGAGGAAGCGGCAUAUAUUCUAGGCAUUAAGAUCUAUAGAGAUAGAUCGAGAAGGCUUAUAGGUUUAAGCCAAGAUACUUACAUUGACAAAGUGUUGAAGCGGUUCAGCAUGGAAGAGGCAAAGAAAGGGUUCUUGCCUAUGUCACAUGGCAUACAUCUCAGCAAGACUCAGUGUCCUUCGACUAUUGAUGAGCGGGAUCGCAUGAAUAGAGUGCCAUAUGCCUCGGCUAUUGGAUCUAUCAUGUAUGCAAUGAUAAGUACUCACCCAGAUGUUUCAUAUGCGCUAAGUAUGACAAGCAGACACCAAUCUGAUCCAGGUGAGAGUCACUGGACAGCGGUGAAAAACAUUCUUAAGUACUUGAGAAGGACUAAAGAUAUGUUCCUCGUCUAUGGAGGUGAGGAGGAGCUCAUUGUAACAGGUUACACCGAUGCUAGUUUCCAAACCGACAGAGAUGAUUCAAAGUCACAAUCAGGAUUUGUGUUCACGCUAAAUGGUAGUGCUGUUAGUUGGAAGAGUUCCAAGCAGGAGACGGUGGCCCAUUCUACGACAGAAGCUGAGUACAUCGCGGCUUCGGAAGCCGCGAAGCAAAGUGUUUGGAUAAGGAAUUUUCUCAUUGAGCUUGGUGUGUUCCCGAAUGCGUCCAGCCCAUUGAAUCUCUACUGUGAUAACAAUGGGGCAAUUGCGCAAGCAAAGGAGCCAAGGAACCACCAGAAGAACAAACACGUAAUGCGGCGAUUUCAUCUCAUUCGAGACUUUGUUAACCGGGGUGAGAUCAAGAUAUGCAAAAUACACACGGAUCUGAACAUUUCUGAUCCGUUGACAAAACCACUCCCGCAGGCUAAGCAUGAUGCGCAUGUAAGAGCUAUGGGUAUUAGGUACCUUCUAGAUUGACUCUAGUGCAAGUGGGAGACUGUUGGAGAUAUGCCCUAGAGGCAAUCAUAGAGAUGAUGAUAUUCCAUUUGUAUCCAUGAUUUGUAUGUUGUGUUCAUUGAAUAUCCAUUGAAGGCUACUUGAAUUGAUUUGCAAUUAUGUGAAUUGUAUGUGAAACUCUUUACUUGUAUGGUUAUUCUAAAGUUGUCCCUAGUCGGAGUUCAUAUGAGGACACACAUGAAUAUUAGACUAGCACAUGUAUUAGUUGAUGACUAUGUUUCACAAGUCAUGGACAUGGAGAUGUUGAACUAAUAAUGUGGACACAUGUGGAGACAUGUGCUAGGACUGACCCAACACGAGAAGUAGUUCUCUCUUUAAAACAACAUAUACGCUUUGUCCUUAGACCUGAGAUUGUCACAUGUAUUCUAGAUGUGGAUCGACCUACUUAGGGGCUAUCAAACGCUACGCCAUAACAGGGUAGCUAUAAAGGUAGCUUUCGGGUUUGUCAAGAAGCAUGCUAUGAGACAUGGUCAAUCAAGAUGGGAUUUGCCCCUCUCUGAUUGAGAGUGAUAUCUCUGGGCCCCUCGAGUGAUCGGAUCUGAAAAUGCAUGGCCAUGCUACGUACGGUUAAGAGUUAACCUACAAAGGGAUUCCGAAUCACAGGAUCGAGAAAGAGCGGUCGGCUUGAAGCUAGACCAAAUAUCGUGAGGCAAAGGGAAUAGCAUGUAUAUUAUGUUGUGAUGGUUCGUCUGAUAUGAUCUUCGUGUGCAUAUAGGAGUUGGCACGUCUUGCUAGAGGCCGCCACUAACUAUUGGGCUGAGUAGGAGUACUCGGGCCAUGUCUAUACGUAUCCAAACCCAUAGGGUCACACACUUAAGGGGCUGGAAGCCCAAUUCGGAUCUGAUCCGAGUUGGAUUAGGUUUAUAGGUACUAAUGGGCCUCGGAUCCAGAGGCCCGUCAGGAACCUCUAUAAAUAGAGGGGUGGGGGCGCCCUAGGGUUUACACCUUUUGGCGAAACACACCUGCCGCGCCUCCCACACCCUCGCCUGUUGCAACUCGUGGAUCUAGCAAUUCCGGCUUGCGACGCAUCCUCCCUGCACGUGUGGAUACCUUGGAGGUGUUGCGCCUGCAGCACUUGGACGAGCCGCCGAUGAGCCACGACGAGCCGACGACGAGCCGCGGUACCGGAGGCGAUCUUGCUGUACGUGGACGAGCUGCUGAGGAGCUGCUGGACGUGAUCGACUAUGUACGACUACGUGAUCGUCUUCACUGCAUCGACGCAUAUCUACAUCUUUCCAGUCCAUAUCUCAUAUGGUGUCUUAACUACGGAUUUAGAUGGUACCCUAUUAAGUGUGAAAGCUGCUGUUUCUAGAGCGUAUCCCCAAAAUGACAACGGUAGGUCCGACUGGCUCAUCAUUGAUUGAACCAUGUCUAACAAAGUUCGAUUACGUCGCUCGGACACACCGUUUCUCUGAGGUGUUCCAGGCGGCGUAAGUUGUGGAACAAUUCCGCAACUCUUUAGAUGAUUGCUAAACUCGUGGCUCAAAUACUCGCCUCCACGAUCAGAUCGUAAGGCCUUAAUUUUCUUGCCACGCUGAUUUUCAACUUCAUUCUGAAAUUCCUUGAACUUUUCAAAGGUUUCAGACUUGUGCCUCAUCAAGUAGACAUAGCCAUAUCUACUAAAAUCAUCAGUGAAAGUUAUGAAGUAUUGGAAUCCUCCUCUAGCCGUCGUGCUCAUUGGUCCGCAUACAUCACUAUGUACGAGUUCCAACAAGUCUACUGCUCUCUCAGGAAAUCCUGUGAAAGGCGUCUUGGUCAUCUUGCCUAGCAAGCAAGCCUCACAUGUCUCGUAUGAUUCAAAAUCAAACAAAGUUAGAAGUCCAUCAGAAUGGAGCUUCUUCAUGCGCUUUUCACUUAUAUGACCCAAACGACAAUGCCACAAGUAGGUAGGACUCAAAUCAUUAGGCCGAGGCCUUUUAGCACUUACAUUACAGACAGGUGAACCAUCAAGAUUUAAAACAAAUAAUCCAUUCACAAUGGGUGCAAAAGCCAUAAACAUAUUAUUCUUAGAGAUCACACAACCAUUGUUUUCACUCGCAAAUGAAUAACCAUCCUUCAUCAAGCAUGAAGGAUACAAAAUGUUUCGACUAACAAAAUAACAAUUAUUCAACUCCAUAAUAAUUCCUGACAGGAGGUGGAGUUGCAUCGUCCCGACGGUCAACGCAGCAACUCUUACAUUAUUGCCCACGCGGAAAUCAACUUCUCCUCUUUCCACGCUUCUAGUUCUUAUCAUUCCCUGCAUCGAAUUGCAAAUAUGAGCAACCGAUCCGGUAUCAAAUACCCAAGAAUUAAUAAUUGUAUCAGCGAGAAAUAUGUUGUCUAUAACAUUAACAACAAGCGUACCUGAGGUAGAAGUACUCUUACUUCCGCCAUUCUUCAAGGAAGCUAGGUACUGCUUGCAGUUUCUCUUCCAGUGACCAAGUUCAUGACAGUAAAAGCACUCUUUGUUUGGAGUAGGUCCAGGUCCAGCUUUAACCUUGGGCGGUGGGUUUGGCUUGGACGUUCCAGCCUUGCCCUUCUUCUUCUAAGAAUUGCCCUUCUUCUUAAAGCUAGGCUUGUUCUGUAUCGCCAUCACAUGGCUGGUACUAGCGCUUUUCUUGAUGUCAGCCUCUGCUAUUUUAAGCAUGCCACACAGCUCAUUCAGACCCUUCUCCGUCCCAUGCAUAUGGUAGUUCGAGAUGAAGUUCCCAUAGCUAGGCGGAAGAGACGAAAGAAUGAAAUCAGUGGCCAACUCUUGGCCCACUGGGAAGCCCAGCUUCUCCAACCGUUGAGUGUAACCAACCAUCUUGAUUACGUGUGGUCCUACUGCUGCGCCUUCUGCUAGCUUGCUCUCAACAAAGGCCUUAGACACAUUGAACCUUUCAGUCCUGGCCUGUGUUUGGAACAUGUCUCUAAGCGCCACAAUCAUAUCAUGCGCCUCAUGGUUUGUUUCAAACUGCAUCUGCAGCUCCGGUUCCAUGCAAGCAAGCAUAAGGCAGCUUACUUCGAGGUUAGCAUCACAUGCUUUCUUGUAAGCAUUCUUAGCAGCAGCGGGUGCAUCAUCAGCAGAUUCUUCUGGUAGUGGGUUGUCUAGAAUAUCUUCCUUUUUCUCAGCCCUGAGAACAAUUCUCAGGUUACGGAUCCAAUCCGAGUAAUUUGUUCCAUUCAACUUGUCCUUCUCAAGGACCGAACGCAAAGCAAACGGUGUAGUGCUGCUAGGUGCCAUUUAAUCUACAACAAAAGUAAUGCAAAAUACACUAAGACAAACGUAUCCAUGAUAGAGCAAAUUACAUUAAACUAUUUUAACAGAAUCUACUCCCACUAAAAUCAAUAUCCCUCUAUUGAAACUUAGUGAUUCAGGAUCCACAACUUACAAGUCCACUAGUGAGCUUUAGCAUCACCGCUAGCAAACGAGGUAGAUCGGUAAGCAACUUUUGCUAAUCAUAUCACAUAUGACUCCUGUUGUUGGGUCACAUCUCUAUGUCUCGGCGCCCAACCUUUAUGCCCCAAGGUCCUUAACCGUUAAGAUAACCUUGUUAAGCAAACCAACCCUUAUGUGUGUAAGUGUCCAACACAAACCCGUCUAGUCAAGGAAAACUAGUGGCACCCUAAUUUCAUAGACCCACCACUAAUUGUACAAGACAUGGGACGGUGCAAGUUUUAGUUGGGAGGGCAUACUAACUUAAACUUCGUGAGGGAUCGUUCUACUUCUAACAUCACAGCAUGCAGAAAGUAAAACAUAAACAGAAUAGCAUUCACACAGCUUGUGACACAGUAUGGCCCGUCUUCAUAUGGUGAUCUCCAUCUCCAUGUUCCAUGUGCGCCCUCCUCCUGGUGAUGAGUCCUCCAAGAACUAGAGCAUGCUAUUACGACUAAUAGCUAGUAAAGAAUCUAGUAAUGAAGAUUACAUAGUUGCUUGGAUCAUCACAGAUUGGUACGCAGACCAUUAAAUACAAUAAAGUGACAACACAUAUGGCUCCUGCCGUGUUACUGUACGCGCGACACGCAGGUCAUGAAUGAGUUACACACAUGCAUCACAUACACAAGGGGGCCAUACUGAUCACAAGAUACAUACAUACAUCCUGCAAAACAGAGUUAGGCGUCCUAACGUUCCAAACUUCGGAGGCCCGAAACUCCAUCUUCCAAGCCGAAUUUGGGAAAUCUAAUUUCGCCGAAAAUGGCAAAGCCGUUGAAUUUCAUGUGUAACUUCUUAUGUAGAUCAAUUUUCAUAUAAAAUUCGCCCCAUUCCGAGAUCGUACCGAAAAGUUACGGCUGAUUUACCGAAGCAUACGCAUACGGCAAAAAUCCCGACCCCGGCAGUAGAUCCCAUCUACUAUUGCACAUCUAAUGCGCCUGGCGUAUGACCCUGGAUUUCGAUUUGACCAAUCAUAUUGAUCUUCCCUCACUGCAACUGGAUUUACGUGUAUCACUUAACUCCGAUGGAGGAAACCGACUGGUAGGAGUAUGUCGUUACACUACCAUUGCAGCAAGGGCACGAAAACAGGACAUAGAUCAAACGGAAAACUCGCAUAUCUCCAUAUGCACACAUCCCGAAUCCAAAACUAAGCAGCUACAGCUCUGAUACCACUGUUGGGAUACGAGGUAGGCUACACUAGCGCAAUUCAAAAAAUUCUACCGCGUAUAACCAGGAAGAACUGCCGUAUAAGGAUCACAGGAUUACCACUCAACGCACUACUGGUGCGGAAGAUGUAGAUAUGCGUCGAUGCAGUGAAGACGAUCACGUAGUCGUACGUAGUCGAUCACGUCCAGCAGCUCCUCAGCAGCUCGUCCACGUACAGCAAGAUCGCCUCCGGUACCGCGGCUCGUCGUCGGCUCGUCGUGGCUCGUCGGCGGCUCGUCCAAGUGCUGCAGGCGCAACACCUCCAAGGUAUCCACACGUGCAGGGAGGAAGCGUCACAAGCCGGACUGCUAGAUCCACGAGUUGCAACAGGUGAGGGCAUGGGAGGCGCGGCAGGUGUGUUUCGCCAAAAGGUGUAAACCCUAGGGCACCCCCACCCCUCUAUUUAUAGAGGUUCCUGACGGGCCUCUGGAUCCGAGGACCAUUAGUACCUCUAAGCCUAAUCCAACUCGGAUCAGAUCCGAAUUGGGCUUCCAGCCCCUUAAGUGUGUGACCCUAUGGGUUCGGAUACGUAUAGACAUGGCCCGAGUACUCCUACUCGGCCCAAUAGUCCGUAGCGGCCUCUAGCAAGACGUGCCAACUCCUAUACGCACAUGAAGAUCAUAUCAGACGAACCAUCACAACAUAAUAUACAUGCUAUUCCCUUUGCCUCACGAUAUUUGGUCUAGCUUCAAGCCGACCGCUCUUUCUCGAUCCUGUGAUUCGGAAUCCCUUUGUAGGUUAACUCUUAAUCGUACGUAGCAUGGCCAUGCAUUUUUGGAUCCGAUCACUCGAGGGGCCCAGAGAUAUCACUCUCAAUCAGAGAGGGGCAAAUCCCAUCUUGAUUGACCAUGUCUCAUAGCAUGCUUCUUGACAAACCCGAAAGCUACCUUUAUAACUAUCCUAUUACGGCGUAGCGUUUGAUAGCCCCUAAGUAGGUCGAUCCACAUCUAGAAUACAUGUGACAAUCUCAGGUCUAAGGACAAAGCGUAUAUGUUGUUUUAAAGAGAGAACUACUUCUCGUGUUGGGUCAGUCCUAGCACAUGUCUCCACAUGUGUCCACAUUAUUAGUUCAACAUCUCCAUGUCCAUGACUUGUGAAACAUAGUCAUCAACUAAUACAUGUGCUAGUCUAAUAUUCAUGUGUGUCCUCACAUGAACUCCGACUAGGGACAACUUUAGAAUAACCAUACAAGUAAAGAGUUUCACAUACAGUUCACAUAAUUGCAAAUCAAUUCAAGUAGCCUUCAAUGGAUAUUUAAUGAACACAACAUACAAAUCAUGGAUACAAAUGGAAUAUCAUCAUCUCUAUGAUUGCCUCUAGGGCAUACCUCCAACAAUGAUGAGCCUGCAACAUAUGCAGAAGCAAUGAUGGACCCAGACUCCGAAAAAUGGCAGAGUCCCAUGCAAUCCGAAAUAGAGUCCAUGGGAGACAAUCAAGUUUGGAACUUGGUUGACCCACCUGAUGGUGUUAAAGCCAUAGAGUGCAAGUGGAUCUAUAAGAACAAAAAGGACAUGGAUGGAAAUGUUCACAUCUAUAAAGCACGACUUGUCGCAAAAGGUUUUCAACAAGUUCAAGGAGUUGACUACGAUGAGACCUUCUCGCCCAUAGUGAUGCUUAAGUCCAUUCGGAUUAUUCUAGCUAUAGCUGCAUAUUUCGAUUAUGAGAUAUGGCAGAUGGAUGUCAAGACAGCUUUCCUGAAUGGAAACCUAACUGAGGACGUGUAUAUGAUACAGCCCGAGGGUUUUGUCGAUCCGAAAAAUGCUGGAAAGGUAUGCAAGCUUUAGAGAUCCAUUUAUGGAUUGAAGCAAGCAUCUAGGAGUUGGAACAUUCGUUUUGAUGAAGUGGUCAAAGGGUUUGACUUCACCAAGAAUGAAGAAGAGUCUUGUGUUUACAAGAAGGUUAGUGGGAGCUCUGUAGUAUUUCUAAUCUUAUAUGUGGAUGACAUAUUACUGAUUGGAAAUAACAUUCCUAUGCUUGAGUCCGUAAAGACUUCACUGAAAAAUAGUUUUUCGAUGAAGGACUUAGAGGAAGCGGCAUAUAUUCUGGGCAUUAAGAUCUAUAGAGAUAGAUCGAGAAGGCUUAUAGGUUUAAGCCAAGAUACUUACAUUGACAAAGUGUUGAAGCGGUUCAGCAUGGAAGAGGCAAAGAAAGGGUUCUUGCCUAUGUCACAUGGCAUACAUCUCAGCAAGACUCAGUGUCCUUCGACUGCUGAUGAGCGGGAUCACAUGAGUAGAGUACCAUAUGCCUCGGCUAUUGGAUCUAUCAUGUAUGCAAUGAUAAGUACUCGCCCAGAUGUUUCAUAUGCGCUAAGUAUGACAAGCAGACACCAAUCUGAUCCAGGUGAGAGUCACUGGAUAGCGGUGAAAAACAUUCUUAAGUACUUGAGAAGGACUAAAGAUAUGUUCCUCGUCUAUGGAGGUGAGGAGGAGCUCGUUGUAACAGGUUACACCGAUGCUAGUUUCCAAACCGAUAGAGAUGAUUCAAAGUCACAAUCAGGAUUUGUAUUCACACUGAAUGGUGGUGCUGUUAGUUGGAAGAGUUCCAAGCAGGAGACGGUGGCUAAUUUUACGACAGAAGCCGAGUACAUCGCGGCUUCGGAAGCCGCGAAGGAAGGUGUUUGGAUAAGGAAUUUCCUCAUUGAGCUUGGUGUGUUCCCGAAUGCGUCCAGCCCAUUGAAUCUCUACUGUGAUAAUAAUGGGGCAAUUGCGCAAGCAAAGGAGCCAUGGAACCACCAGAAGAACAAACACGUAAUGCGGCGAUUUCAUCUCAUUCGAGACUUCGUUAACCGGGGUGAGAUCAAGAUAUGCAAAAUACACACGGAUCUGAACAUUUCUGAUCCGUUGACAAAACCACUCCCGCAGGCUAAGCAUGAUGCGCAUGUAAGAGCUAUGGGUAUUAGGUACCUUCUAGAUUGACUCUAGUGCAAGUGGGAGACUGUUGGAGGUAUGCCCUAGAGGCAAUCAUAGAGAUGAUGAUAUUCCAUUUGUAUCCAUGAUUUGUAUAUUGUGUUCAUUGAAUAUCCAUUAAAGACUACUUGAAUUGAUUUGCAAUUAUGUGAAUUGUAUGUGAAACUCUUUACUUGUAUGGUUAUUCUAAAGUUGUCCCUAGUCGGAGUUCAUGUGAGGACACACAUGAAUAUUAGACUAGCACAUGUAUUAGUUGAUGACUAUGUUUCACAAGUCAUGGACAUGGAGAUGUUGAACUAAUAAUGUGGACACAUGUGGAGACAUGUGCUAGGACUGACCCAACAUGAGAAGUAGUUCUCUCUUUAAACAAUAUAUAUGCUUUGUCCUUAGACCUGAGAUUGUCGCAUGUAUUCUAGAUGUGGAUUGACCUACUUAGGGGCUAUCAAACGCUACGCCGUAACAGGGUAGUUAUAAAGGUAGCUUUCGGGUUUGUCAAGAAGCAUGCUAUGAGACAUGGUCAAUCAAGAUGGGAUUUGCCCCUCUCUGAUUGAGAGUGAUAUCUCUGGGCCCCUCGAGUGAUCAGAUCCGAAAAUGCAUGGCCAUGCUACGUACGGUUAAGAGUUAACCUACAAAGGGAUUCCGAAUCACAGGAUCGAGAAAGAGCGGUCCGCUUGAAGCUAGACCAAAUAUCGUGAGGCAAAGGGAAUAGCAUGUAUAUUAUGUUGUGAUGGUUUGUCUGAUAUGAUCUUCGUGUGCGUAUAGGAGUUGGCACGUCUUGCUAGAGGCCGCUACCGACUAUUGGGCUGAGUAGGAGUACUCGGGCCAUGUCUAUACGUAUCCGAACCCAUAGGGUCACACACUUAAGGGGCUGGAAGCCCAAUUCGGAUUUGAUCCGAGUUGGAUUAGGUUUAGAAGUACUAAUGGGCCUCGGACCUAGAGGCCCGUCAGGAUCUCUAUAAAUAGAGGGGUGGGGGUGCCCUAGGGUUUACACCUUUUGGUGAAACACACCUGCCGCGCCUCCCACGCCCUCGCCUGUUGCAACUCGCGGAUCUAGCAGUCCGGCUUGCGACGCUUACCUUGUAGGUUUUGCGCCUACAGCACUUGGACGAGCCGUCAACGAGCCGCUGACGAGCCACGACGAGCCAAAGACGAGCCGCGGCACCGGAGGCGAUCUUGCUGCACGUGGACGAGCUGCUGAGAAGCUGCUGGACUUGAUCGACUACGUACGACUACGUUGAUCGACUACGUACGACUACAUGAUCAUCUUCACUGCAUUGACGCAUAUCUACAUCUUCCGCACCAGUAGUGCGUCGAGUGGUAAUCCCGUGAUCCUUAUACGGCAGUUCUUCCUGGUUAUACGCGGUAGAAUUUUUGAAUUGCGCUAGUGUAGCCUACCUCGUAUCCCUACAAGAAUCUGUGUCAUGAGAUGGGGAAACUUAGUUUGGAAAUUGUUCCCCAUGGAACCCUCGGCCACAUAGCUCUUGAGUCUGCCUUAGAAGAUCAAGUGAGGUCAGCACAAGUGGAGGAUGAGGAAGUAAAAUGGAUCAUCAGGAAGAUCUUAUUGAAAGAUGAAGGAUAUAAGCAGUUCCGGCAGGAUGAAACUAGAAAAGUCUAAUGGAGACCGGCUUGUUAUACCAUCCGACCCUAACCUUAAGAAGCAGGUCCUAGAUGAAGCUCAUCUGUCCAAGUUCUCAAUCCAUCCUGUCAGCAAUAAGAUGUACCAUGAUCUCCGUCAAACCUUCUGGUGGAGUGGAAUGAAGCCGGAAAUUGCCCGGUAUGUUUCAGAAUGUGACACCUGUCAACGUAUCAAAGCCGGCCAUCUAAAGGUAGCGGGUACCCUACAGCCCCUACCUAUCCCCUCUUGGAAAUGGGAAGACAUCAGCAUGGACUUCAUAGUUGGACUGCCCCUUACAUCACAGCGACAUGACUCCAUCUAGGUUAUAGUGGACCGCCUGACCAAGUCUGCCCACUUCCUUCCUGUCGGCACCACCCACACAGUCAAGCAGUAUGCAGAGUUGUACCUCGACCGCAUAGUUUCCCUACAUGGUGUACCCAAGACCAUCAUCUCUGAUCGAGGAGUUCAGUUUGUGGCACGCUUUUGGGAACAGCUACAAGCAUCCAUGGGCACCAAGCUCAUCCGUAGCUCAACCUAUCAUCCUCAAACCGAUGGUCAAACCGAAAGAGUCAAUCAUAUCCUUGAAGACAUGUUGAGAGCUUGUGUCAUCCAUUAUGAAAAAAAUUGGGACAAGUGUUUGCCCUUGGCAGAAUUCUCCUACAAUAACAGCUACCAGACCAGUUUGAAGAUGGCACCGUUUGAAGCCUUAUAUGGCCGGAGAUGUCGGACACCAUUGAACUGGUCCCAAGCAGUAGAAAGAUAGAUCUAUGGCCCUAACCUAGUGGCAGAAGCCGAAGAACAAGUAAAGGUGAUUCAAGCAAAUCUCAAGGCUGCCCAAUCUCGACAUAAGAGUUAUUCUGACAGGCGAAGAAGGCCCCUACAGUUCGACAUUGGUGAUCAUGUGUAUCUUCGAGUCUCCCCGACCAAAGGAGUGCAACGGUUUGGAGUGAAAGGAAAGUUGGCUCCCCGCUACAUUGACCCUUAUGAGAUUGUGGAGAUCUGUGGACCCGUUGCUUACCGGAUCCAACUCCCAGAACAGCUAUCGGCCAUACACGAUGUCUUCCAUGUGUCUCAACUGAAGAAAUGUGUCCAAGUUCCAACCGAGAUCUUAGAGCAAGAUCAGCUUCAGAUCGAGCCCAACCUAACCUACGCCGAGUACCCAGACAGAGUUCUUGACCAGAAAGAGAGGCAUACCCGGCGCCAAAUGGUCAGAAUGUACAAGAUCCUCUAGAGGAACCACACGGAGGAUGAAGCAACAUGGGAAACAGACGAGUAUCUGAACAAACACUUCCCAGGUUUUCUAUCUCGUCAAAGAGGUAAGAACGGCACACCCUACUUUUAUACCUGAAUCUCAAGACGAGAUUCUUUUUAAGAGGGGUAGGCUAUGACGACCGACCCCAAAUCUUCCGAGUUAAACCUAAUCCGAGCCCUGAUCACCUGUCUUAGCUUUCCAAGCCUAAGUGAUCAACCUCCAGUCCGGUCCCAACCCCUGAGACCCGACCCUUCUCUGCUGGCCUCCAGUUCCGACCCCGCCGACCCCAACUCACCGUCGGAUCUUUCUGAGUCAUCCCCAACACCUCCCUUCAGUCUGACCGGUGGACCCACGAGAUCUUUUCCCCCAGAUAUUCCGCGACAGGCGCACUCGAGUUGCAUGCCCGCUUCAGAGUUCCCCCGCUGCGUGGCUCAACUUCUCCGAUGCCAGCCGCUCCACCUUGUUCUUGGCCCGUGACAAAAUGGAUUCUCGCGCCCUCCUCCCCAAUCGCAGCGGAAGCCCCUCUGCAACCUUUCUGAAGCACCUCGCCACCCACGCCCAUCAUCGCGUCGCCAGAUCCCGGCCGCAGAGCCCGAUGUCGCCCGUCUUUUCCGUCACUUCGACACAGUCGCGCCGCCUGGUCUUCGCUACCCGACGAUCCCUCCUCCGCCAACCCUGACCACGGCAGCAACAGCUCCUUUCCCCGCCCUGUCAGAAGCCGCCCGACAAUUGUUGCUCUGCGCUCGCCCGCGCGGCCGCGGCCGCCUGUCUUCUCACCUAUGCGCCCUCGUUCCUAGCGCCGUUGUCCCGGUCACUUCCAUCAGCUCUACCGCACGACGACACCCGCCUCCGCCAAAUCUCAACCACCGGCAAACCCGCGCCUGCGCCGCCCUGACGCCAGAGCCCAAUGGCCGCUGGCAUCAUCCCCAAAGUCCUGCUCCACCGCCCUCGUCACUCAAUUGCCACCCGGGCAGAGCACUCCAUUGCUUCUUCCCCGGCCUCCGCGCCGCUCCCUUCUCACUCCCGCGCCGCUAUAAAAGGGAAUGCGCGAGCCCCGCCGGAGUCCCCUUCGCCAUCGCUACAUUUCCGCCAUUUCUCUUGCUCCCUAUUCGAGCUCCCAACGCCACCCCACUAAGUUCCUGAGGAACUCUCCUCUCCGCUCCACUCCGUUUUCCCCAAGCCAUCCAGCCGCUUGCUCCUCCUUGCUGCGUAAGAGCUUACUUGUGAUCCACAAGAAGCACCGCCGCCGCCGGAGCACUGCUGGACCUCGCCGCUGUUCAAAGCCUUAUUCCCUCCGCCCAAGUCUGCUUCUUCCCGACUCCAAGCUUUCCUUGUAAGAAGAAGGUAAGCUGCCAACCCCUUGUCCACCUCGUCCGACCCUUCUGACGUCCGACCUUUGUCCGUCUCGUCUGACCCCUUUUGUUCUGCCGACCCUUGUCCGCUUCGCCCGACCCCUCUUAUCCGCCCGACCCCGGUUCCGUCUCGCCCGACCCUGUCUGUUCCGCCGACCCUUCUCCGCCUCGCCCGAGGACUCGGCUGUAUCUUUUUCUUGAACCGAGGGUGUAGGUGUAAAACUUGGGGACCCUUCAGCGUUGAGUCUGAGGACCCCUAGCACACCAAAUCCUCUAGAUUAAGGGUCAGAUCAUAAGUUCCUUUCCUCCGACCCUUACCUUUUGAUCUCCAUCAACUACCUUGAACUUUCCCACCCUCCUGUAUCAUGUCGCAAGUUUCUAGGCUCAGACUUGCAAGUUUUGCUGUUGAAAUAAUCGUCUAUGCUAACUCUAGCAUUGCAUUUUCGUGUAGAGCUGCGUCUCGCCGACGGCUGCUACGAGCUGCACCCGGCGCCAGAAGACGACGGUGUAGCCGAGCUCCUGCCCUCAAAAGCCGAAGCCGCCCCAGAAGUCGAGCAGUUCCCUUCCUCCUUGCUCGAAGGCAAGCCCCGGAUGCAUGAGUCCCCUAUGUUUUACCAAACUUGUGCAUGCCUUCUUUAUCAUGCUUGUGCAUUUACGUAUAGGAGUUGUUUGGAACCCUAGAUGCAUGACUUAGCUCCCAUGAUCUAAACACUAGCUGUUGGACCGAGUAGAUGCUUUGCUUAAAUAGGAGAAGGUAAAAGCCGAGUGAUUUCCUAUCACUCGCGAGUUGUAGGAGUUGGAUGUCUACCCUUCUGUUACAACUGUAAGGACGAUGGAUGGGGUAGGGUUUGAGGUAACUCUUUGGUGGUCGGUUGAUCGCCCCGUCUGUUUAUGAAACUUGCUAAGGCCCGACAGUGGUGGUGUUCGUGAUCAAGUGUUUGAAGGUACUAAUAUCAUACCUAGUAUGGGAUGGGGAAGCCUAGUACCUGAUUGAACUAGGGCGUGGCUUAUACCCCUGCUGUCCCUGGAACGAGGUUCCCAUGGUGCAUCAUGUGGGUGCAAGUGCGGUCACAGUACGGUAGAGGCCGGGACUGUGGAGCAUUGCAUGCCAAAGGAAGUUUGGACCUGAAACGUGCCUGAGAAUUGAUGGGGACGGUCGACACAGGAAGCGGCCCUUGUGGUGCGCGGAUGUCAUGAGAUUAGGUUCGCCAUGCAUGGUUAAGAAACUCGAAUCGAUUCGUCUGCCUCUCACGGUUUGAGACUGCUUGAUCACUAUGUCACCCUAAGUAAAUGAGGAAUCUGAUGAUGACAUGGUUUUGUUGAUGAUAUUUAUACCUUUGGUUGGUUCUAUGAUUGUUUAGAAUAGGUUGCAAAACUUAGACCGGAUAAUGAACUUAGAACUGGAGCUAAAACUUGAAAGUAGGGUUACACCUAGCGCUUUUGGCAAACAAACCCCCAGCCAAAGAGCCUUGUAUGUUUAGAAGUGGUGGAGUGGUUACUCCCUGUCGGUUAAGUCUUGUUGAGCUUAGUAGCUCAGCCUUGUUGUGGCUUUUUCUUUUUCAGGUGAAGUUGCUGUUUCCGAUCCUUCUGCCGCUGGCACUUGGCCGCCCCAGCUCCCUUCAGGUUGGACGGUCGAGUGGGAUCCCUCCUCGGACGGCGAGGAGAGGGAUCAGGGAUGUCCCGGUUGGCCUCACCAGGGAUGUCCGACCCCGACGUUUUGCUUCCGCUAGUGGUUUUACCUUCUGUUGUUUUCCUUUUGGAAACCUUGUAAAACUCUGAUGUUUAUUUCAUAACCAAACUAAAUGGUUAAGUUGUUAACUCGGUGGACUUGUUGUAUUCGCUGGAACCGCUCACCUUCGUGUGGGUUUGCUUAAUGGUCCUGUUCAAGUGGUUAAAUCGGAUAAAAUCCGACGGCGCUUCGUGUUUACUCGGUUUAGGCAUGAGCGUCGCGUAUCAUGCGGCUAAAUCAUGUUUAACCAAGUAGAUCCGAAGUGGAUCCGCCACAGCUGGGGGGUAGAAGUGACCGAUAUGACCGGUCGGAAGACAGGCGUGAGCAAAAUGAUAGGCCAGGGGGCAUAUUCGAUCGGCGCAGCCAACCAGAAAACAAGGUCAGCGUUCACGAUCGGCUAGAAGAGAUGGCCGAUGCUCGGGUAUCAGAAGAGAACACCUUAGGACGCGAACCAGAAUGGGAACGUGCCAGGCCACUGACUAAACCGGUGAACCCCAGGUGGUGCCUUGAGGGAUUGACUAAGUCUCAAAAACGAAGAAUCCAAUGUCUCCGCCAGUGGGAACAACAGGAAGAAGAGCAACAACAUACGAUGGAUGAGAAAAACGGCAGGCCUCAGGUCUGGCGCCCCAAAAGAAAUGACAGGGGGGACGAUGAAUCGGCAGCCGACAUCAGCAUGGUUUUCAUACUACCGAUGGAAUUCAUGACUCCUGCCGACCGACAGGACAUGUCGGCAAUAGAAGAGCAGAUGGCACAAUUGGCUUUAGAGCCAAUGACAGCCACGUUCGAGAAACCCGAAGAUGACAAACGACAACACCUAAAGGCAUUGUUCCUCAAGGGGCAUGUCAACGGCCGACCCAUCACCAGAUUACUAGUAGAUGGAGGAGCUGCUGUUAACAUCAUGCCAUACGCCAUGUUCCGGAAGCUAGGGAAGAGUGAUGACAACCUGACUAGGACAGACAUGAUGCUCAAGGACUUCGAAGGCAACGUGUCUCCCGCUCGCGGCGCACUAUGCGUCGACCUCACCAUCGGCAGUAAGACCCUUCCUACUACUUUCUUUAUUAUUAAUGGCAAAGGGUCCUACAACAUGCUACUCAGCCAAGACUGGAUACAUGCAAAUUGCUGCAUCCCGUCUACGAUGCACCAAUGCCUCGUACAGUGGGUCGGCGACAACAUCAAAGUGGUCACCGCCGAUUCUGCAUACAGCGUCGCGACAGCCAAUACGCAGCAACGGAGCUGCGAGAAUGUCAAGUGCAUAUCCGGGAGGAUAUGGGAUACUGAUUUCCUAAAGGUGUCCGAUUUUGGUCUACAGCCGAUCCGAGCAGUCGGCUCCGAAGAUUCAGAUUAAAUGGAUCAGUUCGUCCGGGAAGAUGGAAAGCUAGGACACGGGUUCACGUCGGCCGAUUCAUUAGACAUGAUAGAUUUAGGCGAUGGCACCAAGCCAAGGCCGACGUACAUUAGUGCAAACUUGGAUCCAGAAUACAAAUGUAAAUUGACAAAUUUAUUACGAGAGUUUAAAGAUUGCUUUGCUUGGGAAUACCAUGAGAUGCCCGGAUUAGAUCGAUCUAUUGUUGAGCACCGGUUACCCAUAAAGCCGGGAUAUCGGCCAUAUCAGCAACCUGCACCGUGGCGUAAUCCUAAAAUCCUACCUGAUAUAAAGGUCGAAAUAACGAGGCUAAUUGAAGCAAAAUUUAUUCGGCAAUGCCGUUAUGCCGAAUGGAUCUCCAACAUUGUACCCGUAUACAAGAAGAACGGAAAGCUCCGCGUAUGCAUCGAUUUCAGGAAUCUCAAUCAGGCCACGCCGAUGGACGGAUACCCAAUGCCGACGGCCGAUGUGCUAAUAGAUGCCGCCGCGGGACACAAAGUUAUUAGUUUCAUGGAUGGAAACGCUGGAUAUAAUCAGAUACUAAUGGCCGAAGAAGACAUAUCCAAAACGGCCUUCAGGUGCCCGGGUCACCUUGGUUUAUUCGAGUGGGUGGUAAUGACUUUCGGUUUGAAGAACGCCGGUGCUACGUAUCAGCGAGCCAUGAAUUACAUAUUUCACAAACUUAUCGGCAUCCUGGUGGAAAUUUACAUCGACGAUGUCGUAGUCAAAUCAAAGGGACACCAGGAACAUCUAACUGAUUUGCGGCAGGUACUGGAAUGCACGAGGAAACAUGGGCUGAAGAUGAACCCGAACAAGUGUGCUUUCAGUGUAUCCGCCGGACAAUUCUUGGGAUUCAUGGUUCACGAACGUGGGAUAGAAAUCAACCGGAAGACCAUAGCGGCCAUCAAUAAAGUCGUGGCCCCGUAGAAUAAGACUGAGUUGCAGUCCCUAAUCGGCAAGGUCAAUUUGAUCAGAAGAUUCAUAUCUAAUCUAUCCAGGCGUAUCCAAGCCUUCACACCAUUGUUAAAGUUAAAACCCGACCAAGAGUUCGUAUGGGGAGAAGAGCAAUGCAAGGCACUAGAAGAUAUCAAGCAGUACUUGGUCUAGCCACCAGUAUUGGUCCCACCUCAAACUAGUAAGCCGUUUAAACUGUAUUUAUUAGCUGAUGAAUGAGCUAUCGGGUCGGCUCUGGUUCAGGAAUUUGAGGGAAAGGAACAGGUAAUAUAUUAUGUUAGCAGAAGACUUCUGGAUGCCGAAACAAGAUAUUCCCCGGUAGAGCGGCUAUGCCUAUGCCUUUACUUCUCAUGCACCAAACUUAGGCACUAUUUGUUAUCGGCAGAGUGUGUAGUAGUAUGCAAAGACGAUGUGGUAAAAUACAUGCUGUCGUUGCCGAUCUUGAAAGGACGAAUCGGAAAAUGGAUUUGGCUUUAUCGGAGUUCGAUCUACGAUAUGAAUCGGCAAAGGUCGUCAAAGGUUAGGUUAUGGCCGAUUUCGUUGCCCAGCACUGCAGACCAGAGACCACCAUCAUGGAACCAAUGCCGUGGACCUUAUAUUUUGAUGGUUUGUCAUGUGGGGCUGGAUCAGGAAUCGGCAUCAUUCUCAUAUCGCCUCGGGGGGCAAGCUAUGAUUUCUCUCUGCCGAUAGAAGCAUCCGCCACUAAUAACCAAGCAGAGUAUCGAGCCGUGUUAAAAGGAUUACAAUUGUUGAGGGAGAUCAAGGCUGACGCCGUCAAGAUUUUCGGGGAUUCCAUGCUUAUCGUGGACCAAUUUAAAGGAAGGUCCGAAUGCAAGGAUGAUGUAUUAAGGAUUUAUUACGAGGAUUGCCUUCAACUUCUGAAAGAAUUCAAGUCCGCGUUUAUUGAGCACAUCCCUAGGAAUCAUAACGAGGAUGCCAACAGGCUUGCCCAACACGCGUCCGGAUAUCGGCCGAUUCAGGGCGCUAUGGCUCUAGAGCUCGCGGCCGAUGACUGGCGAAAAGAGAUCGCCGAUUAUCUGAAAGAUCCGUCUAAGAAAGUGGAUCGGCGGAUACGAUUUCAGGCCACAAAAUAUGUGUUACUAGAAGACGACUUGUUCUACCAGACGAUUGAUGGCGUUCUACUCAAAUGCCUAGGAAUAGAGGAGGUGAAGACUCUGAUGGGAGAAAUCCACGAAGGAGUGUGUGAAGCCCACCAAUCAGCACAUAAGAUGAAAUGGAUGAUUAGGAAUAAUGGGUACUACUGGCCGACAAUCCUCGAAGACUGCUUCAAAUAUUAUAAAGGAUGCCAGGAUUGUCAGAAAUACAGGAAUGUACAACGUGCGCCCGCAUCGGCCAUGAAUCCUAUUAUCAAACCGUGGCCGUUCAGAGGUUGGGGAAUAGACCUCAUCGGACAAGUUUAUCCUCCGUCAAGCAAAGGACAUAAAUUCAUUCUAGUAGCCACAAAUUAUUUCACCAAAUGGGUGGAGGCGAUUCCGUUAAAAGCCUUAACAUCGGCCGCCAUGGCUGAUUUCGUGAGGGACCAUAUCAUCUAUCGUUUCGGCAUUCCCCAGACUAUCACAACCGAUCAAGGAACGAUGUUUACAUCGGGAGAAUUUGAAAAGUUCACGGCCGAUAUGGGAAUCAAACUGCUAAACUCCUCUCCGUACUAUGCCCAAGCUAAUGGUCAGGCCGAAUCUUCCAAUAAAGGGAUAAUUAAGUUAAUCAAGAGGAAGAUAGAAGAACAGCCCAAAAAAUGGCAUUUAUGUCUGACCGAAGCUCUAUGGGCAUGGGCAUACAGGAUGGCCUGCCAUGGGGCCACCAAGAUGUCUCCUUAUCAGUUGGUGUACGGUCACGAGGCAGUACUGCCGUGGGAAUUGAGGACAGGGUCGAGACGCACAUCGCUCCAAGAUCAGCUGACGGCCAAUGAUUACUCCUCACUCAUGAAAAGGGAGCUUGAUGACUUGGCAGGCCAACGAUUGAGAGCUUUGAUCAGUAUCGAGGAAAACAAGAAGAAAGUGGCCAGAUGGUACGACAAGAAGGUCAAAGUCAAGCAAUUCUCUCUGGGGAACCUGGUAUGAAAGUUAGUGCCGCCGAUUGGGUCAAAGGAUCCUAAAUUCGAUAAGUGGUCUCCCACGUGGGAAGGGCCGUAUAAAAUCGGCCAGUGUGCCCCGGGAAAUGCUUACAUUUUGGAAACAAUCGAAGGAGAAGAAUUUACUAGGUCUUUGAACGGGAGAUACUUGAAAAGGUAUUACCCUAGUAUAUGGGUCGGAGCAUAAGAAUCGACCGCAGAAUAUGAUGAACAAACACACAGCCGAUACGAAAGAGAAUCGCCUAAACAGGAAAUAUAAUCGUCCAAAUCGGCCGAUUUAUCAUUCGGUACGGACGAUGGGUUACACGGCCGACGCAAUACAAGUCGCCCUUAGAACAAAAAAUAAUUCAACCACGCUUCUUCUUGAGUUCUCUCUGAACCCGGCCUAGUUCUAUCAGAAGAUGGAUGCUUCGUUCUUCUAUGUCUUUCAUUGCGGCCUCCGCUUCAACUUAACGAGGAAGAGGAUGACUCCGGUCCAUUGCCGAGCGCGAUGUCCCUGCCACGGCAUCUCCAAGGGCAACCGGACGAGGAAGCGGGUGGCUCCUGUCAACUUGAGGCCUCCUGUAGUUGUUACCGUCGAUGAAGUCCCAGAUCCGUUGGACGUCGGCGGGGACGUGAUCCUUGAGUUCUUCACGGUGAGCCCUAAUUAGGUCCUUGUGUUCUUGCGACAAUGGUUCGUCAGAAUACACGAGCCCAAUGGCUCGUUCAAGUUCAGGACUAAGGCGCCGUGGCUGGAAAAUGAGACAACAUAUAACCGUCUAAGAUGAGGUGUUUUAGAGGAAUCGAACUAAGGCGGAGGCAGAUCUCUUACCUGGUCAACAGAGGAAAAAGAAGAAGAUGAAGAAGACAUGACCGCAGAACGCGCCAACGGAAACAAGUCGGGGAAAAAGUGAACCAAGUAAAACUGGCGCUUUCAAGAGCGAGACCAAGGCUGGCAUUUAUAAGUAGAGAAGGCGUGGAUGUUUCGUAAGACGCGUCCCAUCGGAAGUAAAAAGGGAAAUAAAUAAGAAAGCGCCGUGAAGGACGGUCAAAAGAGGCAUUAAUGUUCUUACAAAACGACCAGUACUUUUACAGAUCGCCCAGAAGGGUGUUGAUGGCCGCAAUCGCUCGAUGUCGGAUCUGAUCGGCCGAAUCCAGAACCCGUUGGUCAUCCUCUGCCGACCCCGGGACUUCUGACAUGUGGCGGUGGAGUCUAAGGGCUUCAUGGGCCAGAUGCUGCCUCUCCCGCUUUAAAUCGGGAUGACGGAGGGGAGCUCCUGAAGCCUCUUCUCUUCAAUGGCUAUUUCCUGGGUUACUUGCUCCAUCUCCUUGGCGAGUUCUGCUCUUCGGCAUUUGAGGCGGUCUAUCGUGCCGACGAGGCUAGGGCGGGAGUCCUCGAGGAAGUGAAUUCGUUGAUGUACCUCCUGAGCCUGACGCUUGUACGAAUCUUCUUCUUCACGAGUCUUGGUCAGUUUGGCGCGAUCGGCCAUGUGACGCAGAGCCCUGAAGACCGGGAUCCGCAUGGACUCAAUGUAAGCGGCCGGCGCCAAGGCUUCUUCUGCUUCCUCUGGGACUCCCCCGCUGACGUCACCAAAGAGCUGCCGAAUCGGCGAAGCAUCCUCCACCAAUCGGCCGAUGUCCUCUUGAAGAAGGGAUCGUAUGUUUUCAAGCUUGGUGCAGAUGUCAUCAAGGACAGAGCUCAAAGUAACCUAACGGGAAGCGACUUCCUCGUCAUCAGAAAGUGCGACCGCAAACGAGAAGAGGCUGUUAUUAGGGGUGUCCUGUUCCUGUAAAAUGGUAGAUGAAAAGAAAACAAGUCAGCCGAUGGUGGUAACAAAUCGGCCAAUAAAGGUUGGGAGAUCUCUUACUUCCUUAAAGCGGAUUUCUUCCGUCAGCAUCUGCGAGACCGCCACCCUCAACUCUGGGACUGGCACCAUUGGCUCGUCGGAAGAAGAAGACUCAACAACAAUCAACGCUCUGCUCGGGCCGGCUUCCUGGAGGGUGACCAAUGGUUGAUCGGGUAGCGUGUUUAGCGUGCCAGUAACCUGCGUCAAAGUUAGUAAGAGCAUUAUCCAAAUAUUAGAAGAUUGGGUUGGAGGAUCGUAUACCUCAACAGGAGGGGGCGCUGGCAUUUCAAGAGCUGUUUGGGACACCGCCGAUUGCUGAGGAUUUACGAGGGCAGUCUGUGCAGCCUAAUAUAAGAAGAGUCAGUAUGGAAAUAGCAAUCGGGAAAAUCGAGCAGUGAUUUUACCUGUAUAGCCUCCACCAAUAAUGACGCGGCGGCUGCUCCGGCUUCUGUGGCGACUUGAACAUCAACCUCUUCAGCAAUCGGAAGGGUGGACACGGCCGAACUUUCCACCGAUGCGAGUAUGGGUGGGUCAGCCGAUUCUGUGCGAGCACGUACUCAGCAGCUGGUCUUCUUGAUGACUUUCUUCUGCGCCUGUUUCAGUCAGCCGGCGAUGUCAUCCACAGAAGGGGCAUGAUAGCCGAUGAGGCGAAAUGUUGUGUACGGAUAGCGGUCCUCUAUCGGCUGGCCACUCCGGCUGUGUUUUGGGGGAGCGCGGCUUUCAGACUGAAGCAACAGCAAGAGUCAGUAUAUAUGUGUAAAAAAUGAGGGGAGAUGAAAAUCGGCUAGGAAAAAGAGAUCGGCGUUCGGGUUGAUGUUGGCUGGAUCUAGGAGAUUGCAGUAUACUACUGCAGAAGCGCAGAACAUGUACUGUUUCCAUUCGGCCCACCAUAGCUUGAACUGCUGAACAGCGAAAGGAGCUACUAUCCAACCGAUCAGAUCUAUGGUGCUGGAGUCUGGGAUUCGAUCAUGCAACCGGUUAUAGUCAAGACCCUUGGUGAGUUCAUCUUUGAACUUUGCUUGGCUGGCGAAGUAUGCGUAAAUCAGCAAUUGUCCUAGGCUGAAUUGCCGUGCUGCGACGGAAGGGUUGUAGAACUCAUAAGUAGGGGCAUCUUUCCCUGAGAAAAAGUUUGCCGGUAAAAUCCCCGGUUUGAUUAAUUCAUCUGUGAGGUUUUCAUCGAAUCGGCUAGUGGUUGAGUCAAAACAAGAAGGGAGUUAGAAGAUUGGGUCCUCCCUCUGAUAAGGGAACCAGUUGGUUGCAUCUUCGCUGAAGCCAUUGUAAAAGCACCUGAAGUAUUCGGCCACCUUGGUAGCGGAAUAUGAGCAACCAGAAAAGGCCGAUGCCGCUUUGCUGAAGGACGUACAUCGGCAUCGGACAGUGGGAUUUUCUGCCGAUUCGAUGUUGGGGAAUGUCAUGUGCUCCACUCGUUGCUGGGAGAUCUUGCUCAUGUACAGAUUAAGCCAUAGGUUGAUGAACCACCGGGGUCCAUAGGGGUUUCCAAUCGGCUCCCCUUGGGAUAGUUUUACACCGAUUUGGUGCAGCAUAUGAUAGGCUGCUCCCAGUAAGUGCUUUCCAAGGGGAACAGAGGCCGCUAUCGAUAGUGCCUCGGCCAGAGCCUGCGUGUUGGUGGAUGGACCGGCUGCUCUCCCACAAAAAAAAUGUUUCUCUAGCCACAUCAUCAGGAAGGCCGUGUGCUCUCUAUUCUCGACUGUUCCGGCCCUUCUGUUGCAUCUGAUGAAUCUCUUCCAUCCGCCGAUUCCCUUUGUAUCCAGCCGAUGGGAUGUCUUGGCCAGAAGGUGAAAAGGAGUAUCUGGAGAGGAGAUGUCAAGGCCGGUCAACAUGACCACAUCGGCCAAGGUGGGAGUCAUAGGUCCAUGUCCAAAGAGGAAUGCGUUGAGAGCAUCGAACCAGAAAUAGGAAGCUGCUAUCACUAAAGGCUCGUUCCUUUCCAUUUGGGAUAAAGAUAGAUCAAUGCACUGGCCGAUUUUGUGCUCGUCCCAUUGGACUCUCUUGGAGGCGGUUAUCCGUUGGUACCAUUCUCUCCAGCCGGGGGUUUCAUUCGGCCAUGACCUGAAGGUAGCUGACCAGUGAUCUAGGUCCAUGGUUGAUUGUUUAAAAGGGAUCCUAUGGGUUUCCAAAUUGAUUAGGUCAGUUGGAUCCGGGUUUCCCAUGGGACCGAGAUAGACAAGGCCUGGAGUUUCUGUGAGGCGAAUAGUAAUCUGAUGCCUAACCGCCUAAAAAAGGAAAAAGGGGGUACGGAAGUAAGAACGGAUCUAAAGUAAAUGCAUUAUUUUUAAGGAAAGUUUCGGUAAUAACCUCCGGGAUGAAGCUCAUCGUAGUUGGCGGGAUCGCCGGUAGAGCUGCAGAUGUUGAAGCCACUGAUGGGACUUUUCUUGAAGCCCCAACUCCCGCCGAUGGAGCUCCUUCUCCCGUCGAUGGAGCCACGGCUGUUGCCGCUAGAGCUUCUGUGGGUGGAGCCAUCUCCAGAGCUUCGGGUGUUGAUGAGGUGCCUGAAGGUGCCGCCAUUGGAAGAGUAGGAAGGAAUGUAGAUGGAAGGAGAUGCCGGGGAAAGACUUGAAACUAAGGAAGGCACCGGAGGUAGAAGAAGGCCAGUGCGCUAAAGAAGGAAGAUGUGAGCUCGUAAGGAGGAGUAUCGGGAUGUGCUGAUAUUUAAAGGUAGUCUGAAAAGGGGUAAAAGCGGAAUUUUUACCGCACCGGCGUUUCGAUUUUUUCGGGAGCAGUGGUUGUCGUGGGUGCCCGUUUCGAAAAGAUUGCAAUCAUCAGGCUGGAGACCGCAAAACGGAAGGAUGUUUUCAAUGCAUUUGUUUUGGAAGGGAAGUUGAAAAGAAUUUCGAAGUAAAGACUAUAUUUUACUCCAAAUUUGGGGGGCAUGUGUUGACGCCAGAUUUUGACACGUAUGAAAUCGGCGUCAGAAAAGGAAGAAAUCAGGAGAUGUGGCAAGACACAGAGGUCACGGUUGGAAAUCGGCCGAUUGGUGCUACAGUUGAGGAUCGGCCGAUUGCCCUUCGAGGGUGGAACUCCACCUCGCCCGACCCCCGAGUCCUGGGGUCGGAUGCGCCCGACCCUCCGAGGGUGGAACUCCGCCUCGCCCGACCCCGAGUCUUGGGGUCGGAGGCGCCCGACCCUUCGGGGGUGGAACUCCGCCUCGCCCGACCUUAGGUCCCAGGGUCGGAGUAGUCGGAGCCCCUGACAUGUAGGCUAAGCUUGCCUUGUAGUAGUCCCGAGUGUCGGGUAGUCG